GAUGAACGCUGGCGGCGUGCCUAAUACAUGCCAGUCGAGCGAACAGACGAGGAGCUUGCUCCUCUGACGUUAGCGGCGGACGGGUAAGUAACACGUGGAUAACCUACCUAUAAGACUGGGAUAACUUCGGGAAACCGGAGCUAAUACCGGAUAAUAUAUUGAACCGCAUGGUUCAAUAGUGAAAGACGGUUUUGCUGUCACUUAUAGAUGGAUCCGCGCCGCAUUAGCUAGUUGGUAAGGUAACGGCUUACCAAGGCAACGAUGCGUAGCCGACCUGAGAGGGUGAUCGGCCACACUGGAACUGAGACACGGUCCAGACUCCUACGGGAGGCAGCAGUAGGGAAUCUUCCGCAAUGGGCGAAAGCCUGACGGAGCAACGCCGCGUGAGUGAUGAAGGUCUUCGGAUCGUAAAACUCUGUUAUUAGGGAAGAACAAAUGUGUAAGUAACUAUGCACGUCUUGACGGUACCUAAUCAGAAAGCCACGGCUAACUACGUG
rnacentral:rRNA from 1 species